rnacentral:rRNA from 1 species
UAAUACGUAGGGUGCGAGCGUUGUCCGGAAUUAUUGGGCGUAAAGAGCUCGUAGGCGGUCUGUCGCGUCGGUCGUGAAAACUUGGGGCUUAACCCUGAGCUUGCGGUCGAUACGGGCAUGACUGGAGUUCGGCAGGGGAGACUGGAAUUCCUGGUGUAGCGGUGAAAUGCGCAGAUAUCAGGAGGAACACCGGUGGCGAAGGCGGGUCUCUGGGCCGAUACUGACGCUGAGGAGCGAAAGCGUGGGGAGCGA